UCCUCACUAGUUCAAUGGUAGAAUGAGAUACUUCUAAUAUCACGAUCUGAGUUCGAUUCUUGGGUGAGGUA
rnacentral:tRNA from 1 species